rnacentral:rRNA from 1 species
AGAGUUUGAUCCUGGCUCAGGAUAAACGCUGGCGGCGUGCUUAACACAUGCAAGUCGAACGAAGCAGCUUCUGCUGCAAGAAAGCUGACUUAGUGGCGGACGGGUGAGUAACGCGUGGGUAACCUGCCUCAUACAGGGGGAUAACAGUUGGAAACGACUGCUAAGACCGCAUAACCCGCUAGUGUCGCAUGACACGGACGGAAAAUAUUUAUAGGUAUGAGAUGGGCCCGCGUCUGAUUAGCUAGUUGGUAAGGUAACGGCUUACCAAGGCGACGAUCAGUAGCCGACUUGAGAGAGUGAUCGGCCACAUUGGGACUGAGACACGGCCCAAACUCCUACGGGAGGCAGCAGUGGGGAAUAUUGGACAAUGGGGGAAACCCUGAUCCAAGCGACGCCGCGUGAGUGAAGAAGUAUUUCGGUAUGUAAAGCUCUAUCAGCAGGGAAGAUAAUGACAGUACCUGACUAAGAAGCCCCGGCUAACUACGUGCCAGCCGCUGC